ensembl:lncRNA
AGAGCAUAGAGGUGAAAGUCCAGCAUCCAAGGAGAAGCUCAUUCAGAAAGCAAGAUGUAUUAUUUUACUUCCUGCACAGAUGACCAUCUCCUGAACUAAUGCUUGCAAUUUCAGUGCCACACCAAGGAUAUUCUUUGGUUUUAGGCAAGGACUAUUUGCUAUGAAUUAUGUUGUUAUUGUUUAUUUGUGCUACAGAUGAAAUAACGUAUUUCCAUCAGAAUUUAAACAGGUGUGAAGAUGCAAGGAAGAAGCACCAUUCCUCAUUUUCUGUGGAGAAAGAAACAGCAGCAUUUCAUGUUCACCUGGAUGUCACGCCUGGAGCUGGGAUGCCCCAGUGCUACCAUCUCACAGUGCUCUGCCAAUGGGACUGCGGGCAGUGCAUGCUGCCAGCAGCUGCUCACAUUGCACGGAAGGAACCUUUGCACCUCAUGGGAGCACGGACAGGAGUGUGUCCCACUGUGUCCCUGCCUCCUGCCCAGCUGGGUCAGUGGUGCUUUGAAGCUGGUCCGUGUAUUGGUGGUAGCUGGGCUGCUCUCCUUGUGCUGCUGAAGGCUGAUCCAGGCUCAUAUCCCUGCUCAUUGCAGGGGAGCUGGACUGGAUGGCUUUUAAAGGUUCUUUCCAACUCCAAGGAUUCCAUGAUUCUCUGAUUGAGUACUUGAUACAACACUGCUUCCCUGGGGUAAAGUUAAACUCAUUUGUUCCAACUUUCUCAUUAGCUUACAAAAGCACUUUUCUCUCAUUCAUUCACACCUAAAUAUUGCACUGCUGUCUUUACAGCUGCAGGAAUGCCCAUUGCCUCUCUGACCAUUGUCCCUGCUGACAGUGCCUGUGCCCCAUCUCCCCAGACACGGUCACGCUCUACCCCCUGGUGAAACAGAAGGGCACCCACCUCUGUGUGUGUGAGGGAGAGGGCUGUGACAAAUUUCAUUUGGAUGUGAUUCAAUGAAUAAAGUACGAGGCGAUGUGCCCAGAGUGACUCAUCUGUGUGCAUAGCUGCUGGCUCCAUGGGUCUGAUGGCCGAGGGCUUUCUUGGUGAGAUGAAGUGUGAAUGCCUCCUUAGGCACGAGGCAGUAACUGCCAUGCCCAGGGUGAGGAAGCCCACUUCUGCACAGCUGCUCAUGGGCCACAGCUGGACAGCUGUGUUGUUAAAGACACAGGAAGUCUUUUUCACUGUACCUUUAGACAUGGGAACAGGCCACAAGCUGUCCCAGUUUCCCAUUGAAGGAAGAGCUGAGGUUUGGUGUGUGCCCAGUGGUGCCCGGUGGGAGCAGAGCUACACCAUUGGGCUGAGCCGCUUUGGGGAAUGGUGUUUAUUUUUCAUUUGGAGGGAUUUUUCCAUGUCUUCUACCCCAUGAUUAAAAGCACAGCCAGUUGCACAUCUGGUUUGCAAGGUCAGAUGCAGAACCAUCAAAAUAUUACAAGAAAGACUACUGCAAGGUUUUAAAUUUUCCCCUGCCAAAGCUGAUAUUGGAAGGAAUACUUCAUGAAAGCCCCCUCGUGUGACAUUUCUAGCUAGAAUCAGAGAUCAAAGACCUAUUCCAUUUUCAGACUCAGGUCUUGCAUUAAAAUGUUAACCUUUUUUUUAAUGUUUCACCAUUGUAUUUGAAAUCUGGUAUAGGAGUUCAGCCGGCACAGAACAUUUCUUAGUAAGAUAUUGUAGGAAAUGAUUGAUUUUUUUCUGCAGAGAAGUUCAGCUUGUAUUAGUGAGCUGCUGGGUCAUUUGGCAAAGAAAGUUCUGGGAAAAUGACAGGUCAGAAGAACUGAUGAAGCCUGGAAAGGCACGAAGCGCAGCAGCUCCUGUUCACGGGCAACUGGAAGUGAGAAGAAUUUCUUGUAUGCCUCACUGUUAUUAAAAUAUCAAGUAUCCUUAGCUGCCAAU